GGGGUUAGCGCCUCCCCCGUUGCUGUGGCGACCAGAGGCGCGCUCGGCGGGAUGCUGCCCCGCUGGGUUCUAGGUUCAAGAGACGUAUCUCUGUUGCCUUCAUUUCUAUUCAUGUCUUCCCAAGGAAAUUGCCAAGUUUAAAACUUCUCCAAUUGCAGCAGAACUUUCCAUCCCUGGGAGACAGCUUAUGCAGGGCCACGUGUGGAAACCAGAAUAAAAUUAUCUCACUGUUAAGUCACCUUCAGAGCACCUACAGUUUGUAAUAUGGAGAAGGAUGAUUGCAAACAUGUACAGUAAUCACUUUCUAGCAGUUGGAAUAAUCGUGGAUGAUCUUACACAGCCAAGCCAAACACAGGACUCUCUCUGGGCAUCCUUCACAUCGGGAUGCGGCAGGACAAUUGGAAAGUAGAUCCUUUAUAUCCUUUGAACAACUCUUACCCUUCAAUUGGCUUUAAGCAUUAUCUGAGCAUCCUUGACAUGAUGCCAGGGCCUAAUGCUGCCUUAGUGAAAGCACGGAGUCAAGCAGACGAUAACUGAUCUCUUUUGCAACUACUGGAACACUGAGGCAGCAACUGGAAAAGCCAGACCUACUACUCCCAGGAAGGGCAGUGUGUACAAAAGAAUCACUUCUCAGCUUUCCCAUUUUAAAGCAGACAGUAUCAGAAGAGGUCACAAAAGCCAAGGGUUAUGCAGUAAAUAAAGAAUUUGGGACGGAUGCAGCUGAUUCGAGAGGCAGACUAGACACAGAUUUCACUCACAAUGAAGAAUACGGACACUUGUGUAGAAGAUCAGGAUGUCGGGGCAGGAGAAAUGGUCCCAAGACCUUCCCUUUUUCCUUCCCCUUUCUCCAGCAUAAGACUAGGAAAAUUGACAAUGGAGACUUCAGGUCAUUGUGGGCAUCUAAACACAGAUGCCACUUGUAUCUAACAGCUCCUGUCUCAUCCAUGAUGUUGUCUUGGGGCAGUGACAGUAGCAGUAAAGUAGUAGGGCAGGAGGACAGAUGGCUCUAAGCCUCCUGCCAUCAAAGAAGCACCAGAGAACAUCUGAAAAGCCCCCUGAAAGGCUUGACAAUGAUUGAGAAGGGACCAAUAAAUCUAGUCCUUCAGGAUUAGUAAGUUCCAAGGACAUGGGCCAAGGAUCAGGGACCGACCAUGAGACCUCUUAGAACCUAAUACACCCAGGUACUUGUGGGAGCAGAUGCUAACGAAAUAGACCUGUUGGGCUUCUCCCUGAAACCUCAGUUUGUGUCCCAGAGAAAGGGAAAGAGAGGAGGAAAUUCUUACCUGAAAUAUUUCAAUGAAUAUUUGUAGUUUAAACACUGAAAUGAUUGGGUGUGUCCAGAUUUGAUAUUUUCUGGAUAAAUUUUGAUAGGAAUCUAAAUAAGGGAGUCAAAAUAGAGAUGAUGACGAGUAAUAGGAAAACAGGUUACAUUUCUUAUCCAUCACUGAGUACAUGGCCGGAAACUCAUACCUUCUACAAGGGAGAAUGCAUUAUAAGCAAAGUGGAGUGGUGUCCAAGGCCCAGGGGCUUUCCAUGAUGUCACAAGAUGGGAGUGGGUCCCCUAUUCUGUCAGCUUUGACACUACACUAGCACCAAAGGCUGCAAAUGCAUUAAUAUAAAGCUAACGUGAUGCCGAGUCAGUUUCAUUCUAAACAUUAGCUGUACCAUGGACUGUGAUAACUGGCCAAGAACAUAGAGGAAAAAGACCUAAGGUCCGUCCUGGUAGACUGACUAUAGUAGAAUUCGGUAUUUUGGUGAGGCUACUGGCGAAAUGAAUGCAAAUUUGAAAUGCAUUAAUAGAAAAUUAUUUCAUGAAGGUUUCUCAUGCUCCUCUUGCUUCUCCCCUUCUGUUAUCCUAUCUUACCCCUUCGCAGUCAUUGAUCUCUCCACAGUCAUUGAUCUCAUUCUUCCUGUCUGCUCAGGAAGUCUGCCUCCACCAUUAUCCUUUCUCCCCGCUGCAUCUUUAAGUGCUUUCUUCUCUACUGGAUCAAUCUUAUCAAUUUACGAAUGUGUUGUAAUAUUUCUCAGACUAAAAAGGACAAGAAAUUUGCUUGAUCGUACAUUGCCUCUAGCGACUUACACUUUUGAAACAAAAUUUCUUGAAAGACUCCUCCAAGUAUUUUAUUUCUCUCUCUCUCUCUCUCUCUCUCUCUCUCUCUCUUUGUCUCAUUUUCCCGAGAACACCCUCCAGUUAGAUUUUGCUUUUACCGCUCUUCACCCCCUUGUUCCUAGAGUCAGUUUUUAGUCCUCAUCUUAUUUGGCCAAUUAAUAACUUUUGAGAUUUUUCAUCCACCUGGUAAAACUGAUGUUUAAAUUUAUAAAGCAAAUACACCUUAAGAGAGCCCCAAAUUUCAGGGCGAUGGCCUACUCUUAUAAUAGCUGGUAU